AAAAUCCCGAAACCCCCAAAAGCCAGACCAUCGAAUUUUGUCUCGCCUGCGUGUCGCCGGCGAUUCCUUCCAUGCUUUGCCGGAGUUUUCCUCACCCCUUGCUGCUCGACGGAGCCUCGUCGCCUGCCGUUGUUACAGUUCCCUGCUUUCUCUCUCUUCUUUCGUUCUUCCUUUCUUCCCCUGUCGUGUUGCUUGCUGCUGCUGCGGAGUUUCGUUGCUGAUGAACGCCGCCGCCACACCUUGUGUUGCCGCCUACCUCGUCGGUCGUCGUGGCCCGCUGCCAAAGCUUGGUUCCUUCUUGUUUUUCAUCCUUGCUCAAUUUGAGCAGAGGUACAAGAUUUCUCUCCUUAAACAAUUCACUUUUGUUUUUCUUUAAUUAUGAGAUUGUGAUUACUUGAUUGGAUUGAUUAAGUUAGGCCUGAAACUGGUUUUGCUAUACAAACAUGUUUUUGAUUUGUAAAAUGAAAAUCAGAUUUUAGUGAGUUUACUUAGAAUUGGAUUUUUGUUUCAUUUAAAUAUUUUAAUUUGAUUAGCAAUUUGAUUGUGGAAUAUUAGUUUAUUUGGAAGUAUUUUUAAUGGGGUUUACAAAUCGUUGUGGUGGUUGUUUGUGUUGUCGUUGUGCUGUUGUUUGUUGUUCUGUUGCUUUGGUGUUGUUGUUGGUGUUGGGAUUGUGGUUGUUGUCUGUUGUUGUUUGUUGUUUUUGUUGCAGCGUUGUUGUUAUUGUUGUUGUCCUGUUGUGAUGUCUCCUUGGUUUGUGAACUGUUGUGGUGGUUGUUUGUGAGGUUCUUUUGUUGUUGUUGUUGCUACUUUUUGUUGUUGUUCUUAUUGUUGGUUGUUGUUGGGGUGGUGAUGUCGUGGUCGUGGCAGUGUGUUGUUGUUGUUGUUGUUGUUGGUAGUGAGUUGUUGCUAUUAUUAGAGUUAUCAUAGUUUAAUGAGGUUACAAAAUCAUUUUGUUAUUCAUGAGGAUUGGUAAUUGGAUUGGUGGAGUAUGAGUUGUUAAUGCUAAUUAUUUGAUUAUGUAGAGUUAGUUUAGAGGAUUUAGUAAUUAGUGAUUGGAAUUAUGGUUGUGAAGGAUUUUCAAUUAGUUGUGAUUAUGAUUUCUAGUUUAGAUUAGUUAUUGAUUAUUGUUAUUAUUUUGAGGUUAAUGUUGGAGGAUUGUUAUGGAAUUCAAGAGAGUUGAUGGAGUUGUGAAAUUCUUAAAGUCUUUUUAUGUCGGAGCUACAUAAUGGAUCGCGUAUGAGGUUUGAUAUUCAGAGUUCGGAAUUCGAAGUGGAGCAAGAUCAAGGUGUCAUAGUGGCUUAAGGAUUAAGCUUGUAUUUUAGAUAGUUGGUUUGAGAAUAGUUAUUGAUAUUUCGUUGUAUAAUAUUUGGGAAUUUUAGUUCAAUUAUUGGUGUAUUUAAGGAUA